rnacentral:rRNA from 1 species
UAGGGAAUCUUCCACAAUGGACGCAAGUCUGAUGGAGCAACGCCGCGUGAGUGAAGAAGGGUUUCGGCUCGUAAAGCUCUGUUGUUAAAGAAGAACGUGGGUAAGAGUAACUGUUUACCCAGUGACGGUAUUUAACCGGAAAGCCACGGCUAAAUACGUGCCAG